AUUGAACGCUGGCGGCAGGCCUAACACAUGCAAGUCGAACGAGCGGCGGACGGGUGAGUAAUGUAUGGGGAUCUGCCCGAUAGAGGGGGAUAACUACUGGAAACGGUGGCUAAUACCGCAUACAACGGAUGAAACCAUAUGGGAUUAGCUAGUAGGUGGGGUAAAGGCCCAACUAGGCGAAGAUCUCUAGCUGGUCUGGGAGGAUGAUCAGCCCCACUGGGACUGAGACACGGCCCAGACUCCUACGGGAGGCAGCAGUGGGGAAUAUUGCACAAUGGGCGCAAGCCUGAUGCAGCCAUGCCGCGUGUAUGAAGAAGGCCUUAGGGUUGUAAAGUACUUUCAGCGGGGAGGCGUUACCCGCAGAAGAAGCACCGGCUAACUCCGUGCCAGCAGCCGCGGUAAUUC
rnacentral:rRNA from 1 species